CAGCCAUGUUGAUCCACUGUUUGUUGUGGGAUUAGGAGUAAACUGAUUCUAAAAUGUUUAACUCAAGAAAAAAAAAUCACCAAUUUUAGAAACAUUCAACUUAACCAGUGAAUGGUAAUGUUGACUCUUUGGACUUAGGGGUUUGAAUACAAGUGUAAAAGCAGGUUUUAUUUACAUUAUGUUGGUCACUUGAUUUUCUUAUCACAAAUAAUGUUUUUGACUUUUUAGUGCAAUAAAUAGAUUUCCUAUAGAAGAAUGAGGCAUAAUUCCCUUUUGUCCAAAUGGGCUUCCAGAUGAUAACCUCUCUCUGCAUCCAAAGCUGUCCUUGUCAGAUCUUUCUCAACAAAGCACUUCCCACUGUCUACUCUUGGGAUCUCAUGAUCUUUCCCACUCUGCAUUUCACUCAGUGCCAGCCCUGUUUUCAGUUCUCUGUUACUAGCCUGUAUUUAUGGGCAAGUCUUCCUUGCUCCCAUACAAACAGCAUAUCUAAGAACCCCAGGCUGGCUUAGAGGUCCACUGUACCUGUUAUGUGCAGAAUGGGAAAGUAGAGAAUCACCCUUUGCUUUUUUGUUGUUGUUGUUUGUUUGUUUUUUACUGGAACUUUCUUUUCCUCAUGGGUAUAUCUAAAGAACACAAGCAAGUCUCCUGUACACUUUCCAUAAUAACAGCUACAUCUCUAUCAGCAGCAAGGAACAAAGCACAAUAAAGACUUUUUUUCCUCUUUGCUCAUUAAACUCAUAAAACACAAUGAAUGAGAGAAUUGGCAUCAUAUC
rnacentral:lncRNA from 1 species